UACGAAGGGUGCAAGCGUUAAUCGGAAUUACUGGGCGUAAAGCGUGCGCAGGCGGUUAUAUAAGACAGAUGUGAAAUCCCCGGGCUCAACCUGGGAACUGCAUUUGUGACUGUAUAGCUAGAGUACGGUAGAGGGGGAUGGAAUUCCGCGUGUAGCAGUGAAAUGCGUAGAUAUGCGGAGGAACACCGAUGGCGAAGGCAAUCCCCUGGACCUGUACUGACGCUCAUGCACGAAAGCGUGGGGAGCAAACAGG
rnacentral:rRNA from 1 species